rfam:Schistosoma curassoni strain Dakar, Senegal genome assembly, scaffold: SCTD_contig0009310
AUCCAGCUGAUCAGUCACAAAUAGGACGAAACACAAUUCCUGGAU